AGCAGAGUGACUAUCAAUGUUUUCCUUAAUGCUUUUAUUUUGCACCAAGGUUUAGAACUUUGAACUGUUGGGUACAUAAAGAUGGAGUAAGCUAAAAAGAAAUCAACCGUUCAAUUUCUACAUAUUUCAUGUGUAAUUUUGUAUUCUAUUCCACUCUUUAACUCACCUCACUUCACUUCAACACAUCAAAAACAAAAUUAAUACUUAUGAAAAGAAUUUAAACUAGAGUAAUUUUUUUAUGGUUGACAACUUGACCAACUCAAACUCAGGUCAUUUUAUUUUUUUUCUAGAGUAAGCUUUAAAUGGGUUGUUUGCUUUUAAUGAAGGUUGCAUCUAGUUCCUACAAAUAAUGAUUGCAGUGUGACUAUGCCUAUAAGCAUAUCGGAAGAUGAACCUAUUCUCUAAUUUUUUAUUUUUUAUUUUUUUAUUCACAUGCGACUUUUACCUAUAUUUUAUCUUAUUUAUAAAGUUUUAAAUUUAUUAAUAGACAAAAAAUAUAUAUAUAAUUUUGGUUAUUAUUGUGUAAUAAAUAAUAUUUAUUUUAUUGUGUAUUUAACCAAAAUUAUAUUUUAUUACACAAUAAUAACCAUAAAAUUUAAAUGUACAGAAAUUAAUAUAUUUUGUUAAAAAAAAAAACAAGGAGAAGAAAAAUUUUAAUUUUAUGUAUAGGAAAAAAAUAUUAAAUAUUAAAAAAAAAUACAUGUUAAAAAAUUAUUAAAUAUUAAAUAUUAAAUAUCAUUUAAUUAUGAUACUGUUAAAACUAAUUGAUUUAAAAUUUUAUUUAUUUCUGUAACUAGACAUCAUUAUUGAAUUAAUUUUAUGUAUAGAAAAAAAUAUUAAAUAUUAAAAAAUUUAAGAAGAAAAGAGUGAAACAAUAUAUUACAUGACUAUUAAUUUAUGCUUGCCUAUCACAUUAGCAGCUGUACUUCUCUUCCAGCUGCUGCCUAUCUUAUCACACACCACCUCUCUCUCUUCCCUUUUAGAUCCCAUCAGGAACUAAUUAAUGCAGCCCCAUAUCAUUUCAAUGUCAGCGCCCCACCAUUGCUUCCACCGGGAAAGGAAAAAACAACAUGCAAAUGCUGGUUGAUGUCCAAAAGCAAUUCCCAUGCAAAUCUCGCUAGAUGGUCUAGCGAGAUUUGCCGCGCGUCUCAAGCAAAUCUCGCUACUUGGUUCAGCGUGAUUAUGUCAGAGUUAUUCUGAGAAUUAUUUUCCCAAAUAAGUUUGAGCCCUUCUGUCGCAUUGAUCAUGCUAAUUUGCACUUGUGUAUAACGACUCAAGGGAUGAGAGCCUCCUCCAGAUUCUAGUGCUAUGCAGAAAGGUGUACACUUGAUCUUAGCCAAAAGGCCGAGAAAGGUAUGGAUUUAUCUAGGUGUAUUACCAUGAAAGUUAGUCGUAAGGUUUUUGUAACACAUUUGAAGGCCCUUGUUGCUAAAGGAUGUACUUAAGUGUAUGGUUUGGAUUAUGUUAUAAAGUUAGAGAUGGAGAAGAGAAGAAGAGGAGGAGAAGAAGAGAAUGAAAGAAGGAAGACUGGCAGCAGUUUCCUGGAGCCUUACAUACAGCUCUAGGUUUGUCCUUUUAUAUAUUAAUUAAUAAAGAAAAAAAAAAGGUAGGUUAAACAAUUACUACAAUGGCCUAUUCUCUUCUAACAAUCCCCCUCUAACCCAAGCUUGUUACAACGACUACA